CACGCCGUAAACGAUGUCUACUAGGUUGCGGGAGUUCUGAUGCUCUCGCGGCCGAAGCAAAAGUGUUAAGUAGACCGCCUGGGGAGUACGGUCGCAAGGCUAAAACUCAAAGGAAUUGACGGGGGCGUCACACAAGCGGUGGAGCAUGUGGAUUAAUUCGAAGCAACGCGCAGAACCUUACCUAGGUUUGACAUGCUUGGAUGCCUUAUUGGAAACAGUGUAGGCUGCCCGCAAGGGUGAAACUUGCACAGGUGCUGCAUGGCUGUCGUCAGCUCGUGUCGUGAGAUGUCGGGUUAAGUCCUUUAACGAGCGAAACCCUUGCCGUUAGUUACCAGCGGGUCAUGCCGGGAACUCUAGCGGGACUGCCGGUGUUAAACCG
rnacentral:rRNA from 1 species